rnacentral:misc_RNA from 1 species
GCAUGGCUUGUAUCGAUCACAUACCAACGUGUCCGAUGUUUUAUGAUGUGGGUUUCCCCUCAUGAGCUGAUGGCUAGUUGGUGGUGGUUGAUCUUCCAAUGGGACGACGCAUGAGUGGUGAUUAGGUUGUGCUUUCAUGCAGGCUCUGUGUAUCAUACGUCGAACUGUGUGGGGCCAACUGUUUCAGUGAUCCAUUGUGCUUGUCUUUUGCUCGUUGCAAAAUGAUUGGGUGGUUUCUGUGUUGGCUACUGAUUUCGGUAUGUGUGGGAUUUGAUGGAAUCCAUUCUUCUUUGCUCUUCCUUCCGCCAUUGGCUUGUCCAAUGAAGGGGGAUGUUGUAUCGGUCUCUCAUGUUCCACACAAUUUAUCCCCUUAUGGGAAGGGAGUGGAUUUGUGAUGGCCCAUGGGUGGCUGUCUAUGCUCUCGGGUAUGUGAAAUAUUCGGUUGUCAUUCGGGUCUUUGACCCAUAUGUAUCAUUUCUUGAGCAUGUAGCUUUAUCUUGUAUGACCCUUGAGCUUGUUCCUGAGCUCAUUGAGCCGUAGUGCUUGUUGUUCAUCGGGGAGAUGUCGAGGUCUUAUGAGUAAUGC